GGGGCUGACUUGCUAAUACUCCUCUCUUCUCUCAGUGCUCAGCAGUGAGCCGCCAUGGACAGGUGGUGGGGUGCCCAGGCGGGGCUGCCGUCCCUGGGGAGAUGCCCCCCCGUGAUCUGACCUGGCGGAGGCUGGAGGAAUGAAGCUGUGAUGCUGCCCUGCAGAGACCCGUGGGCACUGGGGUGCAGUGAGCCCCAUGGCUGGUGCUGUGCAGUGACCGUGGGGUGGUGCUGGGGUUGUGGGGGUAAAAAUUCACCAAGACUAUGACCUGCCCCACACUUCUGCAAGGACCUCCCUGCAACUCCCCAGACUGGUGCCAAGACUCCACAUGUGCUGAGGAGCCAGGAUUCCUGGGUUCUUUUCCCAGCUCCCCCUGCCCCUGAGCCGUGCUGAUCGGGUUUGUGCGGUUCACAUACUCUUCUUGCUGAUCCCGCUGCAGCUCCUGUCCUGCCAAUAAAGUCAUGUUGGUCUGAAUGGA